rnacentral:rRNA from 1 species
GAUGAACGCUGGCGGCGUGCCUAAUACAUGCAAGUCGAGCGAACAGAUGAGGAGUUUGCUCCUCUGACGUUAGCGGCGGACGGGUGAGAAACACGUGGAUAACCUAUCUAUAAGACUGGGAUAACUUCGGGACACCGGAGAUAACACCGGAUAAUAUAUUGAACCGCAUGGUUCAAUAGUGAAAGACGGUUUUGCUGUCACUUAUAGAUGGAUCCGCGCCGCAUUAGCUAGUUGGUAUGGUAACGGCUUACCAAGGCAACGAUGCGUAGCCGACCUGAGAGGGUGACCGGCCACACUGGAACUGAGACACGGCCCAGACUCCUACGGGAGGCAGCAGUAGGGAAUCUUCGGCAAUGGGCGAAAGCCUGACGGAGCAACGCCGCGUGAGUGAUGAAGGUCUUCGGAUCGUAAAGCUCUUUUAUUAGGAAAGAACAAAUGUGUAAGUAAAUGUUCACGUCUUGACGGUACCUAAUCAGAAAGCCACGGCUAACUACGUG